rnacentral:rRNA from 1 species
GGACCGGGUUGUCCGGAUUAUGGGCGUAAGCGCGCGCAGGCGGUUCCUUAAGUCUGAUGUGAAAGCCCCCGGCUCAACCGGGGAGGGUCAUUGGAAACUGGGGAACUUGAGUGCAGAAGAGGAGAGCGGAAUUCCACGUGUAGCGGUGAAAUGCGUAGAGAUGUGGAGGAACACCAGUGGCGAAGGCGGCUCUCUGGUCUGUAACUGACGCUGAGGCGCGAAAGCGUGGGGAGCGAACAGGAUUAGAUACCCUGGUAGUCCACGCCGUAAACGAUGAGUGCUAAGUGUUAGAGGGUUUCCGCCCUUUAGUGCUGCAGCAAACGCAUUAAGCACUCCGCCUGGGGAGUACG